GGGAAACCGGGGCUAAUACCGGAUGCUUGUUUGAACCGCAUGGUUCAAACAUAAAAGGUGGCUUCGGCUACCACUUACAGAUGGACCCGCGGCGCAUUAGCUAGUUGGUGAGGUAAUGGCUCACCAAGGCGACGAUGCGUAGCCGACCUGAGAGGGUGAUCGGCCACACUGGGACUGAGACACGGCCCAGACUCCUACGGGAGGCAGCAGUAGGGAAUCUUCCGCAAUGGACGAAAGUCUGACGGAGCAACGCCGCGUGAGUGAUGAAGGUUUUCGGAUCGUAAAGCUCUGUUGUUAGGGAAGAACAAGUACCGUUCGAAUAGGGCGGUACCUUGACGGUACCUAACCAGAAAGCCACGGCUAACUACGUGCCAGCAGCCGCGGUAAUACGUAGGUGGCAAGCGUUGUCCGGAAUUAUUGGGCGUAAAGGGCUCGCAGGCGGUUUCUUAAGUCUGAUGUGAAAGCCCCCGGCUCAACCGGGGAGGGUCAUUGGAAACUGGGGAACUUGAGUGCAGAAGAGGAGAGUGGAAUUCCACGUGCAGCGGUGAAAUGCGUAGAGAUGUGGAGGAACACCAGUGGCGAAGGCGACUCUCUGGUCUGUAACUGACGCUGAGGAGCGAAAGCGUGGGGAGCGAACAGGAUUAGAUACCCUGGUAGUCCACGCCGUAAACGAUGAGUGCUAAGUGUUAGGGGGUUUCCGCCCCUUAGUGCUGCAGCUAACGCAUUAAGCACUCCGCCUGGGGAGUACGGUCGCAAGACUGAAACUCAAAGGAAUUGACGGGGGCCCGCACAAGCGGUGGAGCAUGUGGUUUAAUUCGAAGCAACGCGAAGAACCUUACCAGGUCUUGACAUCCUCUGACAAUCCUAGAGAUAGGACGUCCCCUUCGGGGGCAGAGUGACAGGUGGUGCAUGGUUGUCGUCAGCUCGUGUCGUGAGAUGUUGGGUUAAGUCCCGCAACGAGCGCAACCCUUGAUCUUAGUUGCCAGCAUUCAGUUGGGCACUCUAAGGUGACUGCCGGUGACAAACCGGAGGAAGGUGGGGAUGACGUCAAAUCAUCAUGCCCCUUAUGACCUGGGCUACACACGUGCUACAAUGGACAGAACAAAGGGCAGCGAAACCGCGAGGUUAAGCCAAUCCCACAAAUCUGUUCUCAGUUCGGAUCGCAGAUGCCGCGGUGAAUACGUUCCCGGGCCUUGUACACACCGCCCGUCACACCACGAGAGUUUGUAACACCCGAAGUCGGUGAGGUAACCU
rnacentral:rRNA from 1 species